ACCAUGCAGUCGAACGGUGAAGCAGAGCUUGCUCUGUGGAUCAGUGGCGAACGGGUGAGUAACACGUGAGCAACCUGCCCCUGACUCUGGGAUAAGCGCUGGAAACGGCGUCUAAUACUGGAUAUGAGCUGCGACCGCAUGGUCAGCAGUUGGAAAGAUUUUUCGGUCUGGGAUGGGCUCACGGCCUAUCAGCUUGUUGGUGAGGUAAUGGCUCACCAAGGCGUCGACGGGUAGCCGGCCUGAGAGGGUGACCGGCCACACUGGGACUGAGACACGGCCCAGACUCCUACGGGAGGCAGCAGUGGGGAAUAUUGCACAAUGGGCGCAAGCCUGAUGCAGCAACGCCGCGUGAGGGAUGACGGCCUUCGGGUUGUAAACCUCUUUUAGCAGGGAAGAAGCGAAAGUGACGGUACCUGCAGAAAAAGCGCCGGCUAACUACGUGCCAGCAGCCGCGGUAAUACGUAGGGCGCAAGCGUUAUCCGGAAUUAUUGGGCGUAAAGAGCUCGUAGGCGGUUUGUCGCGUCUGCUGUGAAAUCCCGAGGCUCAACCUCGGGUCUGCAGUGGGUACGGGCAGACUAGAGUGCGGUAGGGGAGAUUGGAAUUCCUGGUGUAGCGGU
rnacentral:rRNA from 1 species